AAUUGUUAUUUGGACGGAGAGUUGUCUCAUUGGCACUCACACCACAUCUUUCUAUAUCUAUAAAAUGGUUUCUAAAUUAUACAAGGACGUUUUAAGACUAAAUUUAAUGAGGGUCAAGCAAAAUGAGGUAGAGGAAAAAGAUGGACAAUCGAAAACCAUUAGUCGAAGAAAACCAAAGGAUACAAGAAAACAAUCAUACAAUAGAACACGACGAAAACACAGUUCCUAAUACUGACAAACAAUACUCCCACUAAAACCAGAGGACGAUAUCAUGUGCUACAAUUAGGCACUGAGCCUAAUCACAAGUGGCAUCCGUCAUGUCGGUAAUUGCAAGUAAAUAUCGUUGCUAAGUCACAUUCGCUAACCGAC
rnacentral:lncRNA from 1 species